UACGGAGGGUGCAAGCGUUAUCCGGAAUCACUGGGCGUAAAGGGCGCGUAGGCGGCCUGUUAAGUCCGAUGUUAAAGACUGGGGGCUCAACCCCAGCAUUGCGUUGGAUACUGGCAGGCUUGACGGUUGGAGAGGCGAGUGGAAUUACCAGUGUAGCGGUGGAAUGCGUAGAUACUGGUAGGAACACCCAUUGCGAAGGCAGCUCGCUGGACAACACGUGACACUGAGGCGCGAAAGUGUGGGGAGCAAACCGGAUUAGAUACCCGU
rnacentral:rRNA from 1 species